UGGAGGAAAGUAGGGGAUCGCAAGACCUUACGCUUUUGGAGCGGCCGAUGUCUGAUUAGCUUGUUGGUGGGGUAAAGGCUUACCAAGGCUUCGAUCAGUAGCUGGUCUGAGAGGACGACCAGCCACACUGGGACUGAGACACGGCCCAGACUCCUACGGGAGGCAGCAGUGGGGAAUUUUGGACAAUGGGCGCAAGCCUGAUCCAGCCAUGCCGCGUGAGUGAAGAAGGCCUUCGGGUUGUAAAGCUCUUUCAGCCGGGAAGAAAAGGCUGCGAUUAAUAAUCGCAGUUCAUGACGGUACCGGAAGAAGAAGCACCGGCUAACUACGUGCCAGCAGCCGCGGUAAUACGUAGGGUGCGAGCGUUAAUCGGAAUUACUGGGCGUAAAGCGUGCGCAGGUGGUUUUGUAAGUCAGAUGUGA
rnacentral:rRNA from 1 species